CUUGGGAGAGAGGGUGUCCCUCCGCCCAGGUUGUGAGAGGGCACAGGCCAGGCUGAGGGACCCCACCAGUGCACA
rnacentral:pre_miRNA from 1 species